UGGACAUCCAUAAGUUUCUAAAACUUAACUAUUUUACUCACAGGUAGCAAACCACACAUAAAAUAUCCUUCCAAUGUUAUUGCAAACAAGUGAACACCAAAAUACCAUAGAAGAUACUUUGAACUAAACCCGUUGCAACUACACAGAUUGAGGAUAUGUUAAAUUAUAUUGAAAAUAUAUUAUGAUCGUUGUAUUUGUUGUUUAGGAUUAAUGUGUAGGCAUAUCAUAUUGUAUCAUAUUAUGUCAAUAGAAAAAAAAUCUCUUAUAUUUAUGUUGUAUUAAUUGUCUUGAGCCUACUACAUAUAAUUGACUGUUGUGUAGUUGAAACACACUGUAUUCAACAUAUGUCUCUUCUCUCUCUCUCAACAAAUACCAAACUGCAUAAGCUAAUAUGAACUAAUAAAAUGAAGAUAUAAUGAGCACCAUACCCAAACAAUGGAGAUAUUCCAAACCAAUAACAACCUCUGCUGCAUAGAAUCUGGAUACAUAAAAAAGUUAACAAAAAUAUAA
rnacentral:lncRNA from 1 species